rnacentral:rRNA from 1 species
CUACGGUGAAUACGUUCCCGGACCUUGCACACACCGGCCCGUCAAGCCAUGGAAGCCGGGUGUACCUAAAGUCGGUAACCGGUAAGGAGCCGCCUAGGGUAAACUGGUGACUGGGGCU